UGAGCAAUCUGCCCUUCUCAUCGGAAUAAGCGUUGGAAACGACGUCUAAUGCCGAAUACGACCUCCUUUCGCAUGAUCGGAGGUGGAAAGCUCCGGCGGAGAAGGAUGAGCUCGCGGCCUAUCAGCUAGUUGGUGUGGGUAAUGGCCCACCAAGGCGACGACGGGUAGCCGGCCUGAGAGGGUGACCGGCCACACUGGGACUGAGACACGGCCCAGACUCCUACGGAGCGACG
rnacentral:rRNA from 1 species